UUCGAGCCGAGGUGGUACUUGGCGGUGUACCUGUUCAGGGUCUGCUUCCCAGAGAUCCUGGCCUGGAGCUCCCGGCUCCUGACCGUGAAGACACUGGGGCGCCCUGCAACGACCGACACUGUGGGAAGACAGAUCCUCGACAUGCCCGGGGUGCGCUGGUUCACCCAAACGGCCUCGCUGCGGUCGCCGGAGAUUCAGGCCAGGUGAAAGUAGCUGGAUCGGCCCGUUGUGAUGUAGGAAGCCCACUACGAGGUCUGGUAGUAGUAAGAUGAAGCUUUGUCGAACUAAAACGUGCUUGUGUACUAGUAUGUCCAUGGUCCGUAAUAAUUGAGAGUGGAAAAGAACAUUACAGUACUUUUUUUUCUUCGUCUGAAAUCCAGUGGACAACGUAGAAGACAUCACUACUUGGUGCAAUGUGCAUGGAACUUCACUUCUGAGUUACCGAAUUGGGAAUUUGAUGCGGCUUGUCAUGUGUGUGUGUGUUGGUGGGGGGAACACAGACAGUUUACAGGAACCUAGACCUAAUCACUAUUUCAGUUCGACAUACAUUCAUUUGAGCGUCGACUAAUUUCGGACAAAAGGAGUACAAACAUUCUGUACAUUCUUUCGGACAGAGGGAUUCUUGACG
rnacentral:lncRNA from 1 species